UACGGAGGGUGCAAGCGUUGUCCGGAAUCACUGGGCGUAAAGGGCGCGUAGGCGGCUCGGUAAGUAGGGGGUGAAAUCCUGCGGCUCAACCGCAGGGCUGCCUUCUAAACUGUCGAGCUCGAGCACGGUAGAGGCAGAUGGAAUUCCCGGUGUAGCGGUGGAAUGCGUAGAGAUCGGGAAGAACAUCAGCGGCGAAGGCGGUCUGCUGGGCCGUUGCUGACGCUGAGGCGCGACAGCGUGGGGAGCAAACAGG
rnacentral:rRNA from 1 species